CCUACGGGUGGCAGCAGUGGGGAAUAUUGGACAAUGGGCGAAAGCCUGAUCCAGCCAUGCCGCGUGUGUGAAGAAGGCCUUCGGGUUGUGAAGCACUUUCAGUGGGGAAGAAAGCCUUGGGGCUAAUACCCUCGAGGAAGGACAUCACCCACAGAAGAAGCACCGGCUAACUCCGUGCCAGCAGCCGCGGUAAUACGGAGGGUGCGAGCGUUAAUCGGAAUUACUGGGCGUAAAGCGCGCGUAGGCGGUCUGAUAAGCCGGUUGUGAAAGCCCCGGGCUCAACCUGGGAACGGCGUCCGGAACUGUCAGGCUAGAGUGCAGGAGAGGAAGGUAGAAUUCCCGGUGUAGCGGUGAAAUGCGUAGAGAUCGGGAGGAAUACCAGUGGCGAAGGCGGCCUUCUGGACUGACACUGACGCUGAGGUGCGAAAGCGUGGGUAGCAAACAGGAUUAGAUACCCUGGUAGUC
rnacentral:rRNA from 1 species